AAAGCCUUAAGUUAAAUCAAACUAUGCGCCUUCAAAGCACAAAAUAGAAAAUAUAUUUCUAGGCUUUG
rnacentral:tRNA from 1 species